CCGGAGUGGCACUCGUGGGCGCUACCCAACCGAGUAUGCAGCGUAUCUCUGUCGAGCUCAAUCAGGCUCUGUCAAGCCAAAGUCCAAGUAACCGACUCAAACUGGUCUAACAACGAAUAGGUAACGUGCCCUCGGCACAAUCUGACGCCAACACAGGCGAUACGGGUCCACCGUCAAUCCCGACGGCACCCAACGGUCCGGAACAGCCUAAACGCUAUUCUAAAAAUAUACUCGGCAUACCAGCACGAGUGUAACAGAAAACUACACUACCUGGAAUACUCACUAUGACGAUACUGCAACAGUAUAAAAUAAUACAACGGCCCCUAGGGCUAAAUCAGAUAGUUAAAUAUAUGACGAUCAUAAUCGU
rnacentral:lncRNA from 1 species